rnacentral:rRNA from 1 species
AGAGUUUGAUCAUGGCUCAGGAUGAACGCUAGCGGCAGGCCUAACACAUGCAAGUCGAACGGUAACAUGAGAGCUUGCUCUUGAUGACGAGUGGCGCACGGGUGCGUAACGCGUAUACAAUCUACCUUUUACAGAGGGAUAGCCCAGAGAAAUUUGGAUUAAUAUCUCAUAGUAUUAUAUUAUGGCAUCAUUAUAUAAUUAAAGAUUUAUCGGUAAAAGAUGAGUAUGCGUUCUAUUAGUUAGUUGGAGUGGUAACGGCACCCCAAGACAGCGAUAGAUAGGGGCCCUGAGAGGGGGAUCCCCCACACUGGUACUGAGACACGGACCAGACUCCUACGGGAGGCAGCAGUGAGGAAUAUUGGACAAUGGAGGCAACUCUGAUCCAGCCAUGCCGCGUGCAGGAAGACUGCCCUAUGGGUUGUAAACUGCUUUUAUACAGGAAGAAACCGCUCUACGUGUAGAGCUCUGACGGUACUGUAAGAAUAAGGAUCGGCUAACUCCGUGCCAGCAGCCGCGGUAAUACGGAGGAUCCAAGCGUUAUCCGGAAUCAUUGGGUUUAAAGGGUCCGUAGGUGGAUAAUUAAGUCAGGGGUGAAAGUCUGCAGCUCAACUGUAGAAUUGCCUUUGAUACUGGUUAUCUUGAGUUAUUAUGAAGUAGUUAGAAUAUGUAGUGUAGCGGUGAAAUGCAUAGAUAUUACAUAGAAUACCAAUUGCGAAGGCAGAUUACUAAUAAUAUACUGACACUGAUGGACGAAAGCGUGGGGAGCGAACAGGAUUAGAUACCCUGGUAGUCCACGCCGUAAACGAUGGUUACUAGCUGUUCGGACUUCGGUCUGAGUGGCUAAGCGAAAGUGAUAAGUAACCCACCUGGGGAGUACGUUCGCAAGAAUGAAACUCAAAGGAAUUGACGGG